rnacentral:rRNA from 1 species
UACGUAGGGUGCGAGCGUUGUCCGGAAUUAUUGGGCGUAAAGAGCUCGUAGGCGGUUUGUCGCGUCGAAUGUGAAAUCCCGGGGCUCAACUCCGGGCCUGCAUUCGAUACGGGCAGACUAGAGUUCGGUAGGGGAGUCUGGAAUUCCUGGUGUAGCGGUGAAAUGCGCAGAUAUCAGGAGGAACACCCGUGGCGAAAGCGGCUCUCUGGGACGGUACUGACGCUGAGACGCGAAAGCGUGGGGAGCGAACAGG